rnacentral:tRNA from 1 species
GGGGUUGUAGCUCAAUGGUACAGCACUUGCCUAGCAUGUAUGAGGUACUGAGUUUGAUCCUCAGCACCA